ACGGAGGCCUUCAGCCUCUGACGAGGGGCCUUCAGCCUCUGACGGAGGGGCCUUCAGCCUCUGACGGAGGGGCCUUCAGCCUCUGACGGACGGACUGGGAGUGGCCUCUUCACCUCUGACGGACGGACUGGGAGUGGCCUUCCAGCUCUGACGGACGGACGGGAGUGGCCUUCAGCCUCUGACGGACGGACUGGGAGUGGCCUUCAGCCUCUGACGGACGGACUGGGAGUGGCCUUCAGCCUCUGACGGACGGGACUGGGAGUGGCCUUCGCUCUGACGGACGGAUGGGAGUGGCCUCAGCCUGACCGGACUGGAGUGGCCUUCAGCCUCUGACGGACGGGCCUUCAGCCUCUGCGGACGGGCCUUCAGCCUCUGACGGACGGACGGAGGGGCCUUCCGCCUCUGACGAGGGGCCUUCAGCCUCUGAAGGACGGGCCUUCAGCCUCUGACGGACGGGCCUUCAGCCUCUGACGGAGGGGCCUUCAGCCUCUGACGGAGGGGCCUUCAGCCUCUGACGGAGGGCCUUCAGCCUCUGCGCGGGGCCUUCAGCCUCUGACGGGGGCUCACCUCUGACGAGGGGCCUUCAGCCUCUGCGGACGGCCUUCAGCCUCUGACGGACGGGCUUCAGCUCGACGACGCCUGCUGACGGAGGGGCCUUCAGCCUCUGACGGACGGACGAGGGGCCUUCAGCCUCUGACGGACGGGCCUUCAGCCUCUGAGGACGAUGGGAGUGGCCUUCAGCCUCUGACGGACGGAGGGGCCUUCAGCUGACGGACGGAGGGGCCUUCAGCCUCUGACGGACGGAGGGGCCUUCAGCCUCUGACGGACGGAGGGGCCUUCAGCCUCUGACGGACGGAGGGGCCUUCAGCCUCUGACGGACGGGCCUUCAGCCUCUGGACGGGGGGGGCGGACGGCCUUCAGCCUCUUGACGGACGGACUGGGAGGCCUUCAGCCUCUUGACGGACGGACUGGGAGUGGCCUUCAGCCUCUUGACGGACGGACUGGGAGUGGCCUUCAGCCUCUUGACGGACGGACUGGGAGUGGCCUUCCAGCCUCUUGACGGAGGACUGGGAGUGGCCUUCAGCUCUUGACGGACGGACGGGCGGCCUUCAGCCUCUUGACGGACGGACUGGGAGUGGCCUUCAGCCUCUUGACGGCGGACUGGGGGUGGCCUUCAGCCUCUUGACGGACGGACUGGGAGUGCCUUCAGCCUCUUGACGGACGGACUGGAGUGGCCUUCAGCCUCUUGACGGACGGACUGGAGUGUGCCUGAGGGCGAGGGCCUUCAGCCUCUUGACGGACGGACUGGGAGUGGCCUUCAGCCUCUUGACGGACGGACUGGGAGUGGCCUUCAGCCUCUUGACGGACGGACUGGGAGUGCCUUCAGCCUCUUGACGGACGGACUGGGAGUGGCCUUCAGCCUCGGGCGGGGGACGGGCCUUCAGCCUCUGACGGACGGGCGGGCCUUCAGCCUCUGACGGCGGGCGGGCCUUCAGCCUCUGACGGACGGGCGGGCUUCAGCCUCGAGGACGG
rnacentral:lncRNA from 1 species